rnacentral:rRNA from 1 species
GACGGUACCGUAAGAAUAAGCACCGGCUAACUACGUGCCAGCAGCCGCGGUAAUACGUAGGGUGCAAGCGUUAUCGGAAUUACUGGGCGUAAAGCGUGCGCGGGCGGUUUUAUAAGACAGAUGUGAAAUCCCCGGGCUCAACCUGGGAACUGCUUUAGAGACUGCAAAGCUAGAGUGUGGCAGAGGGGGGUGGAAUUCCGCGUGUAGCGGUGAAAUGCGUAGAUAUGGGGAGGAACACCGAGGGCGAAGGCAGUCCCCUGGGCCAACACUGACGCUCAUGCACGAAAGCGUGGGGAGCAAACAGGAUUAG